CUCUGGGCAAAUGUGAUCUCCUCUCCAGGACACCAUUUUUUGCCUUCUAAAAUGAAGAAGUUCAUAGAAGCUCAAGGAAUCCUGAAAUUGAACUCUAACUACAGAAUCAUAAUGGACUACUCUUCAACUAACAACUGUGAAGAUUCUAACCCAAACAAAAAAGGAUAUGGACACCUACAGAAUGACAUUUUACUGCUAUUUAUUAACACUGAAAUGUCCUAGGAACAGAUUUAUCUAUAGUGAAGUAAACUAUUUUAUCUCUCUC